rnacentral:misc_RNA from 1 species
GAUGAAGAACGCAGCAAAAUGCGAUACUUGGUGUGAAUUGCAGAAUCCCGUGAACCAUCGAGUUUUUGAACGCAAGUUGCGCCCGAAGCCUUUUGGCUGAGGGCACGUCUGCUUGGGCGUCACGCAUCGCGUCGCCCCCCACAAUUCUCCGUAAAGAGAACUCGUGUUUUUUGGGGGCGGAUAUUGGUCUCCCGUGCUCAUGGCGUGGUUGGCCGAAAUAGGAGUCCCUUCGAUGGACGCACGAACUAGUGGUGGUCGUAAAAACCCUCGUCUUUUGUUUCGUGCUGUUAGUCGCAAGGGAAACUCUAAGAAAACCCCAACGCGUCGUCAUUUGACGGCGCUUCGACCGCUACCCCAGGUCAGGCGGGACUACCCGCUGAGUUUAAGCAUAUCAAUAAGCGGAGGA